rnacentral:rRNA from 1 species
UACGUAGGGUGCGAGCGUUAAUCGGAAUUACUGGGCGUAAAGCGUGCGCAGGCGGUUUUGUAAGCCAGAUGUGAAAGCCCCGGGCUUAACCUGGGAAUGGCAUUUGGGACUGCAAGGCUUGAGUGCGGCAGAGGAGACUGGAAUUCCUGGUGUAGCGGUGAAAUGCGCAGAUAUCAGGAAGAACACCCGUGGCGAAGGCGGCUCUCUGGUACGUGACUGACGCUGAGACGCGAAAGCGUGGGGAGCGAACAGG